CCAGACUCCUACGGGAGGCAGCAGUGGGGAAUAUUGCACAAUGGGGGGAACCCUGAUGCAGCAACGCCGCGUGAAGGAAGAAGUAAUUCGUUAUGUAAACUUCUAUCGACAGGGAAGAAAGAAAUGACGGUACCUGAAUAAGAAGCCCCGGCUAAUUACGUGCCAGCAGCCGCGGUAAUACGUAAGGGGCAAGCGUUAUCCGGAUUUACUGGGUGUAAAGGGCGUGUAGGCGGGAAAGCAAGUCAGAUGUGAAAACCACGGGCUCAACCUGUGGCCUGCAUUUGAAACUGUUUUUCUUGAGUACUGGAGAGGCAGACGGAAUUCCUAGUGUAGCGGUGAAAUGCGUAGAUAUUAGGAGGAACACCAGUGGCGAAGGCGGUCUGCUGGACAGCAACUGACGCUGAGGCGCGAAAGCGUGGGGAGCAAACAGGAUUAGAUACCCGAGUAAG
rnacentral:rRNA from 1 species